rnacentral:rRNA from 1 species
UACGGGGGGGGCAAGCGUUGUUCGGAAUUACUGGGCGUAAAGGGCUCGUAGGUGGCCAACUAAGUCGCACGUGAAAUCCCUCGGCUUAACCGGGGAACUGCGUGUGAUACUGGAUGGCUUGAGUAUGGGAGAGGUAAGCGGAAUUCCUGGUGUAGCGGUGAAAUGCGUAGAUAUCAGGAGGAACACCUGCGGUGUAGACGGCUUACUGGACCAUAACUGACGCUGAGGCACGAAAGCGUGGGUAGCAAACAGG